GAUGAACGCUGGCGGCGUGCCUAAUACAUGCAAGUCGAGCGAACAGACGAGGAGCUUGCUCCUCUGACGUUAGCGGCGGACGGGUGAGCAACACGUGGAUAACCUACCUAUAAGACUGGGAUAACUUCGGGAAACCGGAGCUAAUACCGGAUAACAUGUUGAACCGCAUGGUUCAACAGUGAAAGACGGUCUUGCUGUCACUUAUAGAUGGAUCCGCGCCGCAUUAGCUAGUUGGUAAGGUAACGGCUUACCAAGGCAACGAUGCGUAGCCGACCUGAGAGGGUGAUCGGCCACACUGGAACUGAGACACGGUCCAGACUCCUACGGGAGGCAGCAGUAGGGAAUCUUCCGCAAUGGGCGAAAGCCUGACGGAGCAACGCCGCGUGAGUGAAGAAGGUCUUCGGAUCGUAAAACUCUGUUAUUAGGGAAGAACAAAUGUGUAAGUAACUAUGCACGUCUUGACGGUACCUAAUCAGAAAGCCACGGCUAACUACGUG
rnacentral:rRNA from 1 species